UACGAAGAUAGUCACGAUGAGUGUCCACACAGAUUGAUUAGGUUUAGAAAGUUUAAGAGUAGAAAUACUUUUCCAGAUGGGGCUAUAGCUCAGCUGGGAGAGCGCCUCGCUGGCAGCGAGGAGGUCUGCGGUUCGAUCCCGCAUAGCUCCACCAUCUUUAAGUGUUUUUCUUUGAAAAUAUUUAAAAAUGGUUCCCUUCUUUUAAUAGAAGUUGAAUCAAGCUCUUUAACAAUUUGGAAAGCUGACUGAUUUGACUACUUACGAGUAAUUCAAAUCAAAUUUAAAAGUUCUCAAUGUUUAUCUUUCAUUAGAUAAACACAACAAACACAUUCAAGUGUCUUGUAUUCGAAUGAUCAGAAAUGAUUGUUCAUUUUUUGAUUCUACUUUUUAUUAAAAAGUGGAAACAAAAAGUAAAUUGAGUCCGGCAAACAGUUAUCAAGAAUUAACCCUUCUUGAUGACAACCAAAAACCUUGGUUGCUUUUUGUCUUCACUUUUUAAAAGUGAAAGCAAAUUUGUAUCAUACGCUAAGA
rnacentral:tRNA from 1 species